UACCGGAUCAGUCUUCCUUUGUAUUGCGGCUAAUAAACAUUAAAGCUCUCACAGUAUCUCUUUCUUGCAAGUACCAAUGAAGAUUAAAAGUAAGUCCAUUUUUAUAUCAUACAUUUCUUGAAUAAUUUAUACAAUUUCUUAUUAUAACAGUAAUAUUAAUUAUUUAGUUUGUAUUUUUCUAUUUCAGAACUUCAUUACAAUCACGCGCGUAGCAAUGAAAUAAUCGAAUGUUUGUAUUGCUAAAAUAUAAAUAUCGCAAAGUAAAAGGAGUGUGUUGUUCGUCCGCAUUUCGUGAUUUAAGCAACAAUUGUUUUUGCAUCGACUGCAUGCAAUGCAAUCCUUAGAGUCAGUGUUUGUCCGCAAAGUUUAUUGCUUUUUUAACAAUUGCACAGACUGUAUUUAUAAAAGAUCGUAAAGUUUUGCGAAUUAACUUCAGUGAUCGUUCGUUAAAAAAUAACUAUCGCGUAAUAGAGUCAGUGCAUCAUUGAAAAAGAUCUCGAUCAGCUUCGAUGUCGAUCUACCUCAUUUUCAACCAGCUGCAAAUUAUUCAUCCUCAAUUUCGACCUAAAUCGCAGACGAGUGUUUUGGAGCCAUCACAGAACUUUUUAAGUAGCUAGAUUAUCGUGGGACGAACCCUAACUCUCCGGAACGAACCUUUUCUACCAAUUUUUUUCCUCUUUCUCAAUUUCUUUUGACUUGCUAUAACUAACCUUUUUCUCUUUCUCACUAAAUUUCUUUUCUCGCUAUUCUUUUCUAUCUCCUCUGUUCUUUUCAGGUAGAUCAUCGAGGGAAGGACCAUCGAGGAAAGGACUAUCGAGAGUGAGACCCUUGGGUGUGGACCCUUGAGAGAGGUCUUCGGCGGAUCUCAUUCUUUCAAUAGGGAAAAUUGGAGUUCGAUUUUGAUACUCUGGUUUUGAUCGGUUCUAGCAAUAUUCAAUAUGUCCACCUCUUGUUUUACGUUUCAUCGUUGUCACAUGCACGCACGUUCUUUUCUCCUUCUCUUUAUCUUUUCCCAGCUGGAUCAUCGUGAGAUAGAUUCAUCUGUGAUCCGAUGUAUCAUCGAAUGAUUCGGUUCAUCAUCGAUUUUUAUGCGAGAAUACAGGAAGAAUAAGGAAAACUCUCGCACUCGUGUCAAUAGGCACUGAUGUGAGUAUUCGCGGGCGCGAUUAAAUGUUCUACUACAAUGGACUUCAUUUUAUUGCUUGAAUUUUCGAAUUGAAGAUGGAUCAUGUUAGAAAAUGGUACAUGUAGUCGCCGAUGUUGCAAUGAUACAGUUAUUUGUAAGCGGGAACUGACCCUCUUUCAAAUAGCAUUGGGAGCCAGAAUUCUCGGUUAACUCAAGUCAUCCCAGGAAUGCGGAUUUUAGAGUAGAGUCAUCGUUAUUCUAACACUCACGUGAGUCAUGUCCGCGGGCGCGAUUAAAAGGAAUACCAAGAGAUACUAGGGACUUUGUUUUAUUUGCUCAAAAAUUUGAUUAGAUUAGUUCGCAAACGUGAAAUUUUAGAAUAAAGUCACCGUUAGCCUAUGUGCCUCCUCAUAUGCAGUAACUUUUACGCAAUGAGACCUGGGUCGGUAGUAUCUGCGAUAUAUUGAAAUAUAAUUCUAAAUCAAGCAACACAAGUACUACUUGUAUGGCUACAUAUUUCAAUAUAUUUUCAAAAUCUAUUCAAUUUAAUUCUUGAUUAAACACUAAGGUACUAACACUUUACAUUAUCAAUAAUACUUCUUAUAGUUAAGACAAAUAGAUAAGAUAUAGUUAAAUUUAAUGAUAAUUUCAUUAAAUUUAUAUUACUAAUUAUUAUAUGUGUUAAUUAUAUUUAUUAUUCUUUAUGCUUUUAUUGUGAAACAAAUACGUACCAGCGUCGUAUUUAGCACGGAUCAUUGCAAAAUACAUGUUACCAUCAAAGAAAGACAUACAUAUGAGAAAUUGAAAAUUUUGAGUUCAUAGUCUACUAAAUUACUUCGUUAUGUCGGGUCAGAGAAGAAUAACCAAACAAGCUUAUAUACCGAUACGAUAGACGCAUAGUGGGAACAGCAUUGGUGAAUCGUUUGGAUUUGUAGUUCAUAUUUUGUCCAUAUCUGUCGCUGAAAUCACACACGCUUCCAAUAAAAGAUUGUGAAUGGCCUUAAUGUUCACAAAAAAGUUUGAUUAUGACAUCCGUGAUAAGUCAAAAUGAUUUUAUAUUGAAAAUAACUACGAUUACACCUUUACUUUUCUAAUAAUUGUCAUACGUAUGUAAAUAUAUCAUAUUCAAUGGUAAAUAUAUGAGGGAUAUAGCUCAUUAUAAAAAAUGUUGGAAAGAAGUGAGAGUGCAAGUUCCACAAUUUUUUUGUUACAUCAUCCAUUGCAUAUGACAAUGAAUGUAUCCUGUAAUAUUUCUAUAAAAUAUUAAUAUAAAUUACGAAAUGAUAUUUCAUUUGAAAGAUAAAAAUUUCAAUAGAAUUAUAGAAUUGAACAUAUACACAGGUUAAAAUUAUUGUUUUAAUUUUAUUGAAUCAAACAUAAAUUGUUGGUACGGGUUAUCCAUAGAAAUUUAUGUAAAACUACGCUAAAUUCAUUUCUAAAAAAAAACAUAAAUAUUAAACUUUAUGAGGAGAAUCGUGCAAUAUCAAAUUGCAUUUCGCAGAUACAUUCUUUAUCUUGUUAAUUGUUAUUAUGCUUCUGAACAAUUCUGUACAAAUGUUAAAGAAGCAAAAAGGUAAAGGUGACAUACAUAUAUUUUGCUCAUAUGCUCCACAAAUGUAUACAUUAUUAGACUAUUAAGUCUGCAUCAACUUGCUUUCCCAACCAUUCCCUUUUCAAUAGCUAUAAUAACAAUAAAGAAUAAGAUAAUCUGUACUGUAAAA